GCCCAGGUGGUGAAACUGGUAUACACAAGAGACUUAAAAUCUCUCGGAGGCAACUCUGUGCGGGUUCGAUUCCCGCCCUGGGCA
rnacentral:tRNA from 1 species